UGGAAGUAAAAGUCGUAACAAGGUCUCCGUUGGUGAACCAGCGGAGGGAUCAUUACCGAGUUUACAACUCCCAAACCCCUGUGAACAUACCUUAAUGUUGCCUCGGCGGAUCAGCCCGCGCCCCGUAAAACGGGACGGCCCGCCAGAGGACCCAAACUCUAAUGUUUCUUAUUGUAACUUCUGAGUAAAACAAACAAAUAAAUCAAAACUUUCAACAACGGAUCUCUUGGUUCUGGCAUCGAUGAAGAACGCAGCAAAAUGCGAUAAGUAAUGUGAAUUGCAGAAUUCAGUGAAUCAUCGAAUCUUUGAACGCACAUUGCGCCCGCUGGUAUUCCGGCGGGCAUGCCUGUUCGAGCGUCAUUUCAACCCUCAAGCCCCCGGGUUUGGUGUUGGGGAUCGGCUCUGCCUUCUGGCGGUGCCGCCCCCGAAAUACAUUGGCGGUCUCGCUGCAGCCUCCAUUGCGUAGUAGCUAACACCUCGCAACUGGAACGCGGCGCGGCCAUGCCGUAAAACCCCAACUUCUGAAUGUUGACCUCGGAUCAGGU
rnacentral:rRNA from 1 species